rnacentral:lncRNA from 1 species
UGUUCAUGGCAUAAUCCUCAUGCUGUAAACUCAAAGCAUGGACAGAUCCUCAAGUUAAGACACAAGCGGCCUCUUGCCAUGGAGGUCUUUCUACUCUAUUGGAUCUUUAGAUAGCUGAGUUAGCUCUUUUGGAUUACACCAGAAACAGAUCGUAGCAACUAUUAGAACAUUGUCAUUGGAUCAAGAGAAGAGAAAGGAGGAAGUUAUAAAGCCAUGAGAGAGUAAGAGAGUAUAGAAGAGAGGGAAGCUUACUUAGAGAAACUUGCUUGAAUUUUAUUACCACAGACUUCUCCUUUUAUAGAGUUGAGAGUCGGUACAAUCCUUCAAAAGUUAGUGGAUAUCCCACUAAUACUUACAAAUAAAAGUUAGUGGAUAUUCCACUAAAGCUAACAAACAAUAAUACACCACAAUUAUAGCGGCCUAUGGCGGCCCACCACUAUCACCAAUAAUACACUCCACUAAUGCUAACAAACAAUAAUACACCACAACUAU